GUAGGUUUCCAAUGGAUAAUUGGAAAUGGGAGAAAACUAAACUUUUGGGAGGAUUAUUGGUUUGGAUCUUGUAGCUUGGCCAUCCAAUUUUUAGAGUUAUAUAAUAUUGCUAAUGACCAUAAUAUCUCCAUAGUGACCUUUGGGAAGGGGUAA
rnacentral:rRNA from 1 species